rnacentral:rRNA from 1 species
GACGAACGCUGGCGGCGUGCUUAACACAUGCAAGUCGAACGAAGUGGCGAACGGGUGAGUAACGCGUAAUCAACCUGCCCUUCCGAGGGGGACAACAGUUGGAAACGACUGCUAAUACCUCAUACUGAAGGAGGGGAUUGCGUCUGAUUCGCUAGUUGGAGGGGUAACGGCCCACCAAGGCGAUGAUCAGUAGCCGGGCUGAGAGGAUGAACGGCCACAAUUGGACUGAGAAACGGCCCAGAAUCAUACGGGAGGGAGCAGUGGGGAAUCUUCCGCAAUGGACGAAAGUCUGACGGAGCAACGCGGCGUGAGUGAUGACGGCCUUCGGGUUGUAAAGCUCUGUUAAUCGGGACGCGGUACCGGAAUAGAAAGCCACGGCUAACUACGUGCCAGCAGCCGCGGUAAUUC